UGAUUGGCUUUAUUAAAAGCCACUUUAUGUAUUUUAACUAUUUUCA
rfam:Nomascus leucogenys chromosome 3, whole genome shotgun sequence.